UAUUUAACGGCCGCGGUAUCCUAACCGUGCGAAGGUAGCGUAAUCACUUGUUCUUUAAAUGAGGACUAGUAUGAAUGGCAUCACGAAGGUUAUACUGUCUCCCCUUUUUAAUCAGUGAAACUAAUCUCCCCGUGAAGAAGCGGGAAUAAAAUUAUAAGACGAGAAGACCCUAUGGAGCUUUAGACUAUACAACAAUUGUUACUCACUUAUUAUACCCUCUGGGUGCUCAACUAUAUUUUUUCAUUUUGACUGUUAGUUUUAGGUUGGGGUGACCGCGGAGUAAAAUACAACCUCCACGAUGAAAGAAACUUAAUUUCUUAACCUAGAGUCACAACUCUAAGUACCAAAAAUUUGACAUAAAUUGAUCCAAUCUAUUGACCAACGAACCAAGUUACCCUAGGGAUAACAGCGCAAUCUACUUCAAGAGUCCUUAUCGACAAGUAGGUUUACGACCUCGAUGUUGGAUCAGGGUAUCCUAGUGGUGCAGCCGCUACUAAAGGUUCGUUUGUUCAACGAUUAA
rnacentral:rRNA from 1 species